rnacentral:rRNA from 1 species
UACGAAGGGUGCAAGCGUUACUCGGAAUUACUGGGCGUAAAGCGUGCGUAGGUGGUGAGUUAAGUCUGUCGUGAAAGCCCCGGGCUCAACCUGGGAAUGGCGAUGGAUACUGGCUCGCUAGAGUGCGGUAGAGGAGAGUGGAAUUCCCGGUGUAGCAGGGAAAUGCGUAGAGAUCGGGAGGAACAUCAGUUGCGAAGGCGGCUCUCUGGACCAGCACUGACACUGAGGCACGAAAGCGUGGGGAGCAAACAGG